CUGUCAUCUCUUCUCCAGCUUUUAUCCCACUUUUCUCAGACAUUGGUGUCCUGUCCAGGUACCAAGAAAAUCUGAGUCUAACCCACCAAAUGGGACCACACCAAAAGUGUAUCUCCAUCCUGUGUCAAAGGCAAAACUGAUUCCUGGAGACCUAAAUGCUGCUUGGUUCUUACAAAGAAUCAUCAGUACAUCUAAGCAAUCCAGUUUUUCAUGGCUUGGGGAUACUUCCAGAAGAAUGGCCUAAGGAUGAUACAGCGAUGGAGUCAGGGACCAAAAAUACCAGACGGCACAGGUUGAAAGGAGCCGCAGGGUUCUGCCAGACCAGUCCCACAACAAGUUAGCAGUUCUCUCUCCAACUCUUGCAAGCGCCCAGGACUGUGCGGGCUUGCUCCCCUCCGGAAGUGGAGGCGGUGCUUCCGGAGGCUUCCACUUCCGGUGGAGAGGGGGCCCGCUGGCCGCCCUUGUUCUGAGUGGGAGUUGGGCAGCUGGCUGCUCCUCGGUGACCUCCGGGGCCGGGACGGACCUGAUCCUGAGGGAAGCUUCUCGGCAACAUCGCUCUCUUGCCUGAAGAGGUGAUCUCCCCACAACCUGCGCGCCAUUUUAUGUGUUUCUAAACAAAGACUUCGGAGUGGUUGGUGGAGCGGCAAGUCGUUUUUUUCCCCAUUGUUAUUAAUUCACUCAUCUAGUACAUUUUCUCGAGCUACUGUUGUGUUUCGUUAAGGAAACCGAGGCCUGGAGAGCACAGGCUAUAUCCGCCGCUUUGUGACUUAGUGAUAGAUUAAUUUCCUGACUUCAGGUCUAGGGCGUUUUGCACUAUUCAGGGUGUGUUUUUAUUUUGUCUUCGUUGAAUUAUUUUUUUAAAAGAUUUUAUUCAUUCGUUUGAGAGAGAGGGAGAGAGACAGCGCGCGUGCGCACGAGCGAGCAGGGAGGGGCAGAGGGAGAGGGAGCAAGAGUCUGAAGCCGGCGGAGCACAGAGCCCGGUCCAGGGCUCUUUCCCACAACUGCGAGCCCACGACCUGAGCCGAAACCAAGAGUCGGAUGCCCAACCGGCUGAGCACCCAGGUGCUCCCAUUGAAUGAUGUUUAAAAAUCUUACUAUUCCUGGGCGCCUGGGUGGCUCAGUCGGUUAAGCGACUGCCUUCGGCUCAGGUCAUGAUCCUGGAGUCCCUGGAUCGAGUCCCGCAUCGGGCUCCCUGCUCGGCGGGGAGUCUGCUUCUCCCUCUGACCCUCCCCCCUCUUGUGCUCUCUCUCUCUCUCUCUCAAAUAAAUAAAAUCUUUAAAAAAAAAAUCUUAUUAUUCCUUCUUAAUGUUCAUCCCUUAUUCCUCUCUUAUGAGUGGCAACAAAGGAUUGGCAGCACCAGGAGGACGGAGGUGUGGAGAGGACAAAAGAGAAACGUGUAUUGAAAUUUUACAAUGUACCAGGCUCACGGGGCUCACUGGUGGCAUCGCAUUACUUUUCACAACCGUCCUGUGAAGUAUGUGGCGUUGCUCCAGUUUUGCAGAUAAGGAAAUUGAGGGGUCAGGUAUCUUGUAUAAGUUCGCUUGACGAGCUGUCAAAUAUUUGAGACUGUUUUGAAUCCAGUUCUUUCUGACUCCAAAGUUGUUAAAUUAUACUGCCUCCCAUGCCUCAAGCAGGACAAAUGUGAUGUCUAAAUGGCUGCUCAACUCCAAUUAGCUCUGCCCAGAUUUUUCACAUACUUUAAGGAAGAACCUUUAUAUUGGCCCUUGAUCCUGAGUUUAAUUGGCCAGAAGACAUUAAUGUUCCCAUGUAAACAGUUACUCAUUAAUGUAACUCAGAAUAUCCGCAUGCAUUACUACCUUGUUCCAAAAAUAACUGAAGGCAAUUACUUGAACAAAGGUGUUAUUGUGUUUCCGGCACAAGUGAUGGGGAAGAGAUGACUAGAGUCCUAUGGUCUCUGACCUCCUGGGACAGCUCUGAUUGUUUCAAAAUUUAUGUUGUGAAAGUUAAAUUUUUUUCCCUGAGCACUUUCAUUCAUCUGUUUCUACACUGAGAGUUGUGUACAAUUCAAAUUCCUUUUCUAUGACGAUGCUUCAAAUUAUUGGCAGUGGCUUUCAGGUUUUCCUAGGGUUUACAUUGAAGUGUGGUAUGGAGAGAGCUGAGUCAACAACUUCUGGUUAAACAACGCAGAUUACUCAUACUCUUCUGUGUUCUUUCCGCCCCAAACCCAACACAUGUGACAGCAAUGAACUAAUAAUGAACUAAUAAAGGUAUUAACCCAUUAGAAAGAAGAAAGGCAAAGAAGACAACAGUGGACAAAAGAUGUUAUCACAGUUUUGGGAGUAGGCAAGGAAAUAGGAAAGUGAUAAUUCACUUAGCAAGUCAGAGAAAACUAUAACCCAAGGACCUGGAGAGAGAAUUUCCGGCAUGAUGUGAAGAGUACUUCCUGGAGGCUCCCAGCCGUGUGGAAAGCUGGAGAGAGGCCCAUGGCUGAGAAUGAGACCGGUUCAGAAUCCAGAGAGAGCACACAAGCAGAGGGAGCGACAGAGGGGGAGAAGCAGACUCCCUGCUGAGCAGGGAGCCCAACUCGGGGCUUGAUCCCAGGACAACCGGAGCCAAAGGCAGAUGCUUAACAG